CCUACGGGAGGCAGCAGUGAGGAAUAUUGGUCAAUGGACGAGAGUCUGAACCAGCCAAGUAGCGUGAAGGAUGACUGCCCUAUGGGUUGUAAACUUCUUUUAUAAAGGAAUAAAACGAGGCACGUGUGCCUUUUUGCAUGUACUUUAUGAAUAAGGAUCGGAUAACUCCGUGCCAGCAGCCGCGGUAAUACGGAGGAUCCGAGCGUUAUCCGGAUUUAUUGGGCUUAAAGGGAGCGUAGAUGGGUUGUUAGGUCAGUUGUUAAAGUUUGCGGCUCAACCGUAAAAUUGCAAUUGAUACUGGCAGUCUUGAGUACAGUUGAGGUAGGCGGAAUUCGUGGUGUAGCGGUGAAAUGCUUAGAUAUCACGAAGAACCCCGAUUGCGAAGGCAGCUUACUAAACUGUGACUGACAUUGAUGCUCGAAAGUGUGGGUAUCAAACAGGAUUAGAUACCCGGGUAGUC
rnacentral:rRNA from 1 species